GCUGCACAUACGGCCCCGGAAGGUGGGUUCAUUGCCGGCCCGUGCGGCGCGCCGGAGCGGCUGUGGCGGUCCGGGGCCUUCGCCGGGAGCUUGGAAGACUUUCGGCGGCUGCUGGGUUCAUCCGGAAUUGUACGUUGACAAAUCAAGAGGAGCUAAAGUGAAGGGCGUGGGAAGGCAGGAGAGACUGGAAGCCUUGGCUGUUGUGUGCGGAGAAGCUGUCAGCCUUUUGAGAGAGCAUCUAGCCAGCAAGCGCCUUGUGGUGCUUUGGUACCAAGCUGAUACCACAGGCCUCAAUCUUUUUUUUGUGAAAAGGGAUCACAAGGAAAUGUGCUGAUGUUGAAGGGGGAAAGGUAGGAGGCAGCUUUCAACCAAUUUUAGGCUUAACUCUUGUGUUCCUGAGAAUGGUUCUGGGCUUUGAAGGGUUUGCUUUUGGCUUUUUGCCUUAAGCGCGCAUCCUCCAUCACCGCUAUCUGUGUGUGCUGAGCUGCUGCUCUAGGGAACUGUGGUGAUACAGAUUGUGUGCAUGCCGACCAUCUUGAAGGCCAUAGCUGUACUUUACCCUAGAAAAGCUUUCCGUAAUACUACGCUUCUGUUAGGAUGCAAUUUUC